UACGAAGGGGGCUAGCGUUGCUCGGAUUGACUGGGCGUAAAGGGCGCGUAGGCGGUUCGUACAGUCAGACGUGAAAUUCCUGGGCUCAACCUGGGGGCUGCGUUUGAUACGUGCGGACUUGAGUGCGGAAGAGGGUCGUGGAAUUCCCAGUGUAGAGGUGAAAUUCGUAGAUAUCGGGAGGAACACCAGUGGCGAAGGCGGCGAUCUGGGCAGAUAUUGACGCUGAGGUGCGAAAGCGUGGGGAGCAAACAGGGAUUAAGA
rnacentral:rRNA from 1 species